rnacentral:tRNA from 1 species
GCCCGGGUGGCGAAACUGGUAGACGCAAGGGACUUAAAAUCCCUCGGCCGCAAGGCCGUGCCGGUUCGAGUCCGGCCCCGGGCACCA